UGUUAUGUUGUUGGUUUAAGCCC
rnacentral:rRNA from 2 species